UGGGGAAUAUUGCACAAUGGGCGCAAGCCUGAUGCAGCCAUGCCGCGUGUAUGAAGAAGGCCUUCGGGUUGUAAAGUACUUUCAGCGGGGAGGAAGGGAGUAAAGUUAAUACCUUUGCUCAUUGACGUUACCCGCAGAAGAAGCACCGGCUAACUCCGUGCCAGCAGCCGCGGUAAUACGGGGGGUGCAAGCGUUAAUCGGAAUUACUGGGCGUAAAGCGCACGCAGGCGGUUUGUUAAGUCAGAUGUGAAAUCCCCGGGCUCAACCUGGGAACUGCUUCUAAUACUGGCAAGCUUGAGUCUCGUAGAGGGGGGUAGAAUUCCAGGUGUAGCGGUGAAAUGCGUAGAGAUCUGGAGGAAUACCGGUGGCGAAGGCGGCCCCCUGGACGAAGACUGACGCUCAGGUGCGAAAGCGUGGGGAGCAAACAGG
rnacentral:rRNA from 1 species